GCCUUCGUGGCGUAGUGGUCAGCACGCUCGACGCGUAACCGAGAGUUCCGUGGUUCGAUUCCCGGCGAAGGCG
rnacentral:tRNA from 1 species